rnacentral:tRNA from 1 species
UCCCUGGUGGUUCAGUAGCUAAGACUCCAUGCUCCCAAUGCAGGGGGCCCAGGUUCAAUUCCUGGUCAGGGAC